GUAUGUCUGUUAUAUUUUGAAAACCUAUUUUAAUGUGUUGGCUGUCUGUUCAUUAUUGAUAGAAACAAUUUCUUGCCUUUACUACAUCACUCAGGGGAUCUUGGAUCUUAGUUCAGGAACAGUGUUUUGCUGGGCCAGCUUCAUGUGUGAUCAUGUCACUAUUUUAAAAUAUAUUUGCUGAUAAUACAGUCUUAUGUACAGCUGUCCUCAAGAGCUAGCCAACAACUGUCUCAUCAGGAUGGGUUUUCCAUCUUCUUCUUCUUCCAGCACCUUUUUCUUCCUUCCAUGAUAUAGACAUAUUGAUCAUGAGGGGAGGGCUCACCCCUCACCCGGAGAAGUAGUUAGGAAAGCAAUAUGCGGAAACAAAGCCAUGAAUCUGACAAGAAAUGUACUUAAGGUAAAGGGAAGCCAAAUAUAAGUAAAGUACUAACAAGGCCAAUUACGUUCAGGUGCAUGGAUGAUUAAUCAUAAAAUUCACAACGGAGGACACUCUGUGGGGAAAAGACCAUGUGAGGACACAGUGAGAAGGAGACCAUAUGCAAAGCAGGAAGGAAGAUCUCACUGGAACCAAAAACCAGCCCUGCUGGCACCCUGAUCUUGGACUUCUAGCCUUUCUCAGAACUCCAUCUUUUCUAGGGGUCUCAGCUUCUCAGCUGUUCAUCUACACACAAAGGCCCCAAAACAUCGUGUGCCUCCCACAGAUGGAAGAAGAUGGGAAAUCAAAUACUGUCCAAGGAAGGAAAAAAGAUUAAUAAUGAAUUGGUAUCCCAAGAGUCACACAAAUAUCAAACCAAGAGGGACUAAUUCCCUGAGCAGGAAGCUAACCUAAGCCACAAUGGGAAUUGUAACCAACAGACUACAAAACGGAGCAGUGUCCACUGUGAACGUUGCAUGGAAUCCAAAGUGGCCUGUGUGCCCACUUUGAUGACUUGUACUAGCGCCUUUGAUCUCCAUCAUAGAAAAUGCUCUGCUCCAUUUCAAAAGAGAUUGUCAUAUAUGCCAUUUGCCAUUCACUGGCCUUUGGAUCAAACCAACAACAGACCUCACAGAUAGAAUUCCACCAAUGGCCAUUCACAAAGAGUUCUAGUAGCAGUUGUGGCAGAGAUACAAGAAAUACAGUGUUGAACCCAUGGGCUAGAGACUUGUGUUCCAGACCUAGAUCUGCCACCAACUGACUGCAGACCAUUGAUCACAUUACAUCUGUGGGUUCCAU